rnacentral:rRNA from 1 species
GACGAACGCUGGCGGCGUGCCUAAUACAUGCAAGUAGAACGCAGUUGCGAACGUGUGAGUAACGCGUAGGUAACUGCCUGGUAGCGGGGGAUAACUAUUUGAAACGAUAGCUAAUACCGCAUACUACCAGAUGGACCUGCGUUGUAUUAGCUAGUUGGUGAGGAAACGGCUCACCAAGGCAACGAUACAUAGCCGAACGGAGAGGGUGAUGGGCGCCAAUGGGACUGAGAGACGUCCCAGACUCCGACGGGAGGCAGCAGUAGGGAAGCGUCGGCAAGAGGGGGAACCCUGACCGAGCAACGCCGCGUGAGUGAAGAAGGGUUUCGGAUCGUAAAGCUCUGUUGUUAAGGAAGCGGUACUUAACCAGAAAGGGACGGCUAACUACGUGCCAGCAGCCGCGGUAAUUC